rnacentral:lncRNA from 1 species
CUCACUGUGAGGGAAGGGCCUGGCAGCGCUACCAGGGUGGGCUCCUUGUGAGCUGCUCCUGCCCGAGCUGAAGGGAGCUUGCAGGUGUUAUAAACGGCUGAGUCAUUCCAGGCCUGUCCUGGGGAGAUGGCACAGGGGGAAUCUUGUGCAAGGCCAGGGCAGCGGUGGCAUGUGAUGGGACAGUAAAAGUAAAAGGGAUAGGAUUAUUCCUCUUCCGCUGCUGUCCUCUUCCCUAAUAAUCACAAGGGAUCGGUGUCUUUCAUGGGAGCAGAGGAAAGUGAAACUUCUGUGACUUCAAGGAGUGGACACAGGUUCGUGCCACAUCCUGUAGGAUGUUAGAAUGAGCUGCUUAGAACACCAAGAUGGGAAGUUGGUCCUGCCCUGAAAAGCUGGCAAGUUAUAUCUACCAGAAAAAAUGUUUUUAGACCACAGAGCACAGGGCAGCCUCCAGGGAAGCCAGCAUGCCUCAAACCACUGGAGGACUCUACCACUGCAGGCAGCCUCUGUGGAAGAUGAGGAGAGAUUCCAGGAGCAAAUUAUGGCAUCUCCCUUUGGGUACACUCAGAUGCAGACGGAGAACCCAGGCUAUGCUCAUCACGAUGGUACCUGCUUAGUGUUAUGUCUGGACAUCAUGCAACAACGUGAAAGAGUUCUCUCCGCUCUUUGCUGAAGGGGAACAGAGUCCAGUUCCAUCCUUGAUUUGCAGUUCAGAUUCCCACAUUGUUAUUGCUGGGUUGCUAUUUAUCACAUUAAAUUAUACCGUAGAUGUCUGAUGCCAGACUUAAGUGCAGAGAUAUAAAUGGUAUUUGAUAUUUUUCUGAACUAAAGAUUAUUUUGGCACUUAAAUGCUGUUAGACAUUUACUAUCAUGCUUUACAGCUUCAAAACAUAUGACAUAAUAUUUCUUAACAUUUUAACUAUCCUAAAAAUCUGUAACUAAGCACUUGAUUUAGAUUCAGUAAGUUACUGUAUGUUAAAUAAAUGCUAACUCAAG